rnacentral:lncRNA from 1 species
AAUAUGGUAGCAAGUAAUGUAAAGACUUUUGGGGGUAAAAAAGGUUGAGUCAGCUGGGCUGAACUCAGGAUGUGGGAAUUUUGUUCAGCCAUUUAGAGUCUCCAUUCCUUGCAUAUGUCUAUAAUUUUUUCCGAGUGUGACUUUUUGGCUUUGUUUUGUUGUGGGUUUGUUUGUUUCUUCCAUUGUGCUACUCUGGCUUAAGCUUUUUCAGGGCUUGGUGUUCCGAAUACACAGUGAGCUCACAGUUUAAAGACAUCAAUUAGGAGUUGACAGGUAUGGAAAACUAGAGGUGUGUAAAGGUAAAUUAGGUUUUAGGUUAAUAUAUGGUUUUAAAAUAUUCUGUAGUGUUUAUUUGGCCAUAGUGAGGUACAAGGGACUUGUGAAACACAGUAGAAAGCAUGUUAAUCAUGCAUACUUCUGUAUGCAUUACUUAAUGUCUGCAGAAGUCAUUUCUGUGGCCCGAUACACUAGUCCUACAGAGAGAAAUGUGAAUGGACUCAGAUUCUAAAGCAUACACAUUGUAGAUUUGAAUAUGUAAAGGAAUAUUUCUGAAGCACAGCAUGGUUACCCAGAUUAGUUAGCCAGGGUCAUAAAGCAAAGUUAGAGGCAGGAUAGAGGAAUAGUUGGACAAUCUGAUAGUCUUCUGUUAGUUAUCUCUUCCCUUUCGUCUAUCCCUGUCUACUUACUGCUUCCUCCUUUCCUGUCCUUUCUAAGGUUUUCACUCUGAAAGCCAGUCCUUGUAUUUUACAUUUGGGGCAGUAAUCUAUAAUAGAGGAUUUCAGAGACAUUAGCUAGCACCUUUUUAUCUACUAUCUUAUGUUCUACACAAAGAGUGUAAGCGUUUAGAAACCACUAGUUCAUAAGACACCCUAGCCCUUGGUGCUUUCUACACCUAAAUAGAGGCGUGUAAUAAAUGAUCAUUAGCCUAUUCUGUGCCCAGUUGACACAUGAGAUAGGCAUAUCCUCUAGCGUCUUUUGAUAACUAUCUGUCGAACUGAACUGAAAUGUACUUGUCAAGGAAUCCCAGCUGCAUUCCUGCAGGGAUGUAUGAAGUGUUCUGAGGAGUCCUUCAAGAGACUCUUGUUCUCUGGAUGAGAAUGGCCACCAUUACAAUGUUUGCAUAGCAUAGGGUGUGCAGAGUUCAUUUAAACAACCUCCAUUCUGCUGCCCCAUUAAAUACUGCUGACUUGUAAGGAAUCUUGCUUUAGAUUUUAUUGUAUUCAAAGUUACUAGGUGGACCUUAUAGUAUGUUUACCUGGCUGCAAUUUGGGGUUUGGGGAACAUGAGGGGUGGGGUGAACUGUUGUUGUUUUAGGUUUCAGUCAGACAGACAUCCCUGCGCCUCAGUUCCCAGAAGCACAGCAGGCCUCUAGGAGCAUCCGUGGGAAAGGCGCAGUCCUGGCAUCACCAGCUUCUCCUGCUCAGGCUCAUCCCAUAUGCAGAGGUCAAAAGGGUGGGGUUUGAGAUGGGGGAAGGAACGAGAACGUAUAGGCUAUGGCAUUGCAGUGCUGCUGUUGACCAGCUUUUGGUGCUUCUGUCAGUGUGUUGCUUGUUUUAAGUUGGCAAGUCUGUACAUUUAUUUGGGAGGGUGGAAAAACAAGCCAUUAUUAUUGCUAGUCAGUCUUGGAAUAGUUCCUCAGUGUGUAAUUUCAAAUAAAUUUCAGAUGUAGAUUCCAGUGGCAAAGAAUGGCAAUAGAAAUGAGUAUUAGAUUUUUAAAGGCAGAAGACAUCAUCCUGUCUUCUUAGAACCACAUUUGUUUUUCCCUACCCUGAGUUUUGCUGUGUUUGUAAAUAGUUUAAAGCAAAUACAUUCAUGGUCAGUCCUUUUAAGGGACUUACUGAAUAUUAACUCUUUUGCAAAAAAAUACCCACUGCUUAUCUGGGCAUACAAAUGCUACCCUAUUUUAAAUGUAGGUGGCGUGUGUGUUCGUGCUUUAAUGUAUUCAGAGCCAUUGGGCAAUAAGCAGUCCAGAACAUUGAAAGCAGGUAAAGCACCCAAUACCCUUAGUUUCUAGAGUUACUUUAAAUACUUUAUAGUGUGUGUUCUUUAGGCAGUCUCUGAAUUUGAAGUUGUAGGAAAUUUGUAGGAGUUGUAAACUACCUAGAUACAUUUUCCAUCAUAUAUUUAUCAAUAGUUCCUAGGAAUACGUAAGGAAGGAAACAGCAGAAUAGACGGUGGCUCUGAGACGAUGACUGCAGAGUGGACAGACGUUCCUCUUCCUUUCUUACCAUUUUUAAUUUUCCUAGGUUAGCAUGAACACUGACCAUAUGUUACUUGAUUUCCUGUGAUUGGGUUUUUUCUGUUGAUUAUUGAGGUGGGUUGGGCAAGAUCUGAAAGUGUUGAUUCACAUGUGAAAAUGUGUAAUGCUAAAAAGCUUUUGUUUAAUUUGAACAGUAAGCAAGGGCUUUUUCUAUAUACCCUUCUGCUGCAGCAGAGAGAUAAACUGGUAGGUGGCAGCAGAGAAAGGAAUUCUUCAGACUGAUGGCUGUUGACCUUAAACCUACAUAGGAGAAGAGAUAGCAUGUGACGUACCAAGUGGAGCGAGGGGCAGCACAGAUGAAAACUGGACUCAGGAAGGCUGCCUCUUUACUGAAUGUUGUCUCCAUUGAUGAAGUAACCAGUGAUGUUCUGGAUGAAGAUAGAUCUUUGUCACCUUUUAGAGGGGGGGAAGAAUGCAGAAUAAGAAGGAAUUGGUUCUUUAUAUCUUGUUGCAUUCAGUGUGGGUUUUCUUUUUCUUAAUAAACACUGAAUGGGAA